UGCAUGCUGAAUUGGCACAAGUUUUACACCGGAUGCCCUUCCUGAUGCAACUCCACAUUACAUGGAGAAAUGUGGCAGGGGUGGGAUUGGAACUGGGAACCUUCAGAUCAGAAGAACACACGUCUG